rnacentral:rRNA from 1 species
GACGAACGCUGGCGGCGUGCCUAACACAUGCAAGUGGAGCGACGAACCAGGCUUCGGCCUGGAGCAAAGCCGCGAACGGGUGAGUAACACGUGGGUAACCUGCCCCGAUGACCGGGACAACCCGAGGAAACUCGGGCUAAUACCGGAUGUGCCCUACCGGCAUCAGCCGGUCGGGUAAAGGAAGCUUCGGCCUCCACAUUGGGAGGGGCCCGCGGCCCAUUAGCUAGUUGGUGAGGUAAAGGCUCACCAAGGCAACGAUGGGUAGCUGGUCUGAGAGGACGAUCAGCCACACUGGGACUGAGACACGG